GGUCCGGUGGCCUAGUGGUUAGAGCAUCCGCCUCGGAUGCAGGAGGUCGUGAGAUCGAUUCCCGGCCGAGUCA